rnacentral:rRNA from 1 species
UGAACGCUGGCGGCGUGCCUAAUACAUGCAAGUCGAACGAGGUAGCAAUACCGAGUGGCGAACGGGUGAGUAACACGUAGGUAACCUGCCCUUAAGCUGGGAUACCCAGAGGAAACUUGGCUAAUACCGGAUAACAACAGAGAAGGCAUCUUCUUUGCUUGAAAGGCCCCUUCAAGGGUCACUUAAGGAUGGACCUGCGGCGCAUUAGCUAGUUGGUGAGAUAACAGCCCACCGAAGGCGAGGAUGCGUAGCCGAACUGAGAGGUUGAUCGGCCACAUUGGAACUGAGACACGGUCCAAACUCCUACGGGAGGCAGCAGUAAGGAGUUUUCGGCAAGUGGGGGAAACCCUGACCGAGCAACGCCGCGUGAGCGAUGACGGCCCUAUGGGGUUGUAAAGCUCUGUUGUAAGCCAUGAAUGAUAGCUUUAGGAAAUGAAAGCUAUUUGACGACAGCUUACCAGAAAGCCACGGCUAACUACGUGCCAGCAGCAGC